rnacentral:rRNA from 1 species
GACGAACGCUGGCGGCGUGCUUAACACAUGCAAGUCGAACGGAAAGUCCCUGCUUUUGUGGGGUGCUCGAGUGGCGAACGGGUGAGUAACACGUGAGUAACCUGCCCUUGACUUUGGGAUAACUUCAGGAAACUGGGGCUAAUACCGGAUAGGAGCUCCUGCUGCAUGGUGGGGGUUGGAAAGUUUCGGCGGUUGGGGAUGGACUCGCGGCUUAUCAGCUUGUUGGUGGGGUAGUGGCUUACCAAGGCUUUGACGGGUAGCCGGCCUGAGAGGGUGACCGGCCACAGUGGGACUGAGAUACGGCCCAGGCUCCUACGGGAGGCAGCAGUGGGGAAUAUUGCACAAUGGGCGGAAGCCUGAUGCAGCAACGCCGCGUGCGGGAUGACUGCCUUCGGGUUGUAAACCGCAUUCGCCUGUGACGAAGCGUGAGUGACGGUAAUGGGUAAAGAAGCACCGGCUAACUACGUG